GGGAACAGCUGCAUCCUUCCCCCUGGUAGCGUCGAAGGUUAUCCUUCACCCGAGGAACCUCCGACGCCUGAAGCGUCGGAGGAUAUCCUUCAGGCGUCGGAGGAUAUCCUUCAUCGGAAAAUACUAAUGUUGACGACUCGUCUGGUCGUGCUAAGUGUGUGCAGGGACUGAGACACCGGCGGAGGUCCACGAGCAAGGAAAGGGGGGAACCUCCGACCCUCCCGGGUCGGAGGACGGCGGGAGAACGCUGCCAGGCCGAGGGACCUCCGACUCGACCAGGCUAAGGAGGAACUCCCGGGGUGGCCGGGUCGAGCAACCUCCGGCCCAGCCAGGCAGAGGAACCUCCGACACUGAAGCGUUGAAGGAUCCGCAAUUGGGCGGAGGAUCCAAGCCUCCGACCAGCUGAAGCCCCAGACAGAGGAUAAACGAAGGGCUUGCAAUGUGAAAUUACGCAGGUGACUUAGGGUCAGUAGACUGUGAUGUAAGAAUAUACCGGAAUAUCCCCCCACCGUCACGGGGUAUUUAUGUAAACGUCAUUAGGUCGGUUUCCAGGCCCUAUAUAAGAGGCGUGAUGCCGUCAUUAAUAAAGAGAGAGAGCAUUCACUGUAUUCACCUACUGUUGAGUUCACUGCUCGCUAGCGCUCAAACCUCUCACGGUACCGAGUGAGAAGGUUCUCGAUCCACCGUAUUGCUGGGAAGUGCGGAGAGCAUUUUCCCAACAUUGGCGCCCACCGUGGGGCUCGAAGGAUAACCUGCGAUGGCUGGGAAGAGAACAAGCACCACAAGACCUCGGGCAGAACCCUCCAGGAGAGGAAGGCCGAGGAGGGCCGUGCGGAGCACGUACGCGACCGUGGAGGGAGAAGGUUCUGAGGGCGAGCAGCCAGAGAACGUGCAGCCGGAAACACGCCAGGAACCUCCUCCCGCCGCAGGCCCGGCGCAACCCACGGCAACGCAAGAGCUCCAGCAGCUGCAAACGCAAUUGCAGAACCUUCAGCAAGAGCGAGACCGAAUCGCUGCCGCCUACGCCGCCAGCCAAGAGGCAGCGGUAGCCGCGACGCAAGCAGCCGAGAUCAGGCAGCAGCUUUCAAUCCUGCAGGCAGAAAUCCUUAGCAUGCAACCUCCACCUCAGCCGACGAUCCAGCCCGCUGUUCUGCCCAGCGCCGGCCCAACAUUAGAUGUGCAACCGGCAAACUACGGUGGCAUGCUGCGGAGCACGUUGGACCUUCGUUCCCCUCUGUCCGAAGGAUUGCAGACCUCGCCUUGGCCAACAACCUACAAACCGAUCACGCUCCCUAAGUUCAACGGAAAGGUUGACCCCCGCCAAUUCCUGAUGAGUUUCGAGGCAGCCGUGGCCUCAGCCGGAGGGAAUGAAUCUGUGAUGGCUAAGUCCUUUGUGAUCGCGGCCGAAGGAGAUGCCUUGGUAUGGUACUCGAUGCUUAGGCCCGGGUCGAUCUAUUCAUGGGAGAACCUUCGAGACAAGAUCUUGGCGAAUUUCCAGGGGUUCGCAGUUGAAUCACUAACCUCUACGGACCUGUUCCAGUGUCGCCAAAGUCAGGGAGAGGCACUGCGGGAAUACUUCCAAAGGUUCGUGCAGACCAAGGCCAAAGCACCCGGCGUGCCGGAAGAGGUUGCCAUUGAAGCGGCCAUCAAAGGUCUCCGCAUAGGACCUUUCGCAGCUCACUUGGCCAGAGAGAAACCAGCAUCCAUGCACGAGCUGUACCAUGAGUUCGAGAAAUAUUGCAGGUCAGACAACGACUACCGCAAGAGGUUGGAAGACCAAAACUCUCAGAAGAGGCAGAGCAAUGACAGCAACUCGCAGAAGAAGAACCCUAGCCAUGACAAGCACCGGCCACAGCGAGAGGCUGGGGGACAGAUGAUGAAUAUUGAGCAACCAAGGAAUGACAGGCCGGAACAUAACCGUCCACCGGCGGAAACGUGAGACCCGGAACGCAGACCCAAUCAAGCUGGAAGAGGGGGUCGAAAUGCGGGAUGGCAAAAAAAUCAAAAUCAGCGGCCACGGAAGCAGUAUUGUUUCUUCCAUGGAGAGGAGAAGGGUCACUCCACCAGAGAUUGCCCGGAUGCAAAGGAAACUCAGGAGAGGAUCAAGAGCAGGUCAGCUCCGCAACCUCCGACACUAGUUGCUCAACCUCGGGAGGUAAAUCACACAUUCCCUCAAACCUUCUACCAUUCAUAUGUCGGAGGUUCAAGCCAGCAACACCCAGCUCCAAUUCAGCCAAGCGCGCUAGCCUCCGCUUACUAUCCCAGAUUCCUACCAGCUUGGCGCCCAGCCCAGCAAACCGCGGACCACAACCUUCCACCAACCUAUGUUCCUCCACGACCUCCACAGAUUACAUACAUCGAAACCCCGCAACUCCACCAGCAGUCACUGCCUCCUCCCCCAAACCAGCUACAGUUAGUCCAGGCUCCACCUCCACCGAAAAUCGAACCCCACCCCGAUAAUCAGAUCGGCCCUCAUACACCCCUGCCCACGAUUGGAAUGAUCUUACCAAUAGCUGGAGGGUCCUCAAUGGAGUUCCAGACAAAGAAGCAGAAGAAGGAUCACCUCCGGCUCGUUAACAACGUUGCAGUUCAAGGGCCAGUAAGAUGUACCGAUUGGUCCAGAACCCCAAUAACCUUCACCGAGGAAGAUCUGAGGUUGGAAAGCUACCCUCACACAGAUGCCUUGGUCAUAACAACGAAUGUUGCGGGUUGGGGAGUAAGCAGGAUCUUAGUGGAUUCAGGGAGUUCCGCGGACAUAAUAUUUGCUGGAACCUUUGACCAAAUGAAGCUCAGUAGAAGCCAACUCCAACCUUCGGAGUCACCUUUGAUCGGGUUCGGAGGAAAGCAGAUACAUGCUCUGGGAAAGGUCGCCUUGCCCGUAUCCUUCGGCACAACGGAGAACGCAAGAACAGAGUACGUCACCUUCGAUGUGGUAGACCUGCACUACCCAUACAAUGCCAUAUUCGGGCGAGGAUUCUUGAACAAGUUCAAUGCGGCCGCUCAUAUGGGAUACCUGUGCAUGAAAAUCCCAGCUCUGCACGGAGUGAUAACGGUUCACGGAAGUCAAAAGGAGGCAAGGAACAUAGAGAAAGCAAUCUACAAGUCCUUCCGGAACAUAAACUCCGUAGACUCUACGCAACAUGGAGCUUCCCAUCCACCAGACAUGCCAAGGGGGAAAACAGACCUGGCUGAUCAGGAGGAAACGAAAUGUGUCCCCCUGCAGGAGGCUGUUCCAGAUAAGAAGGUCACCAUCUCCGCCAACCUCAGUAGAGAGGAGGAACUCGAAUUGUUGGACGUGUUGCAAAAGAACCAAGAUAUCUUCGCCUGGAGUGCAGCUGACCUGCAAGGAGUCAGCAGAGACAUCAUAGAGCAUUCGCUGGACAUCGAUCCGAGAAUGAGGCCGAGGAAGCAGAGACAAAGGAAAAUGUCUGAAGAAAGGACCUUAGCCGCGAAAGCAGAAGUACAAAGACUUCUGGACGCAAAGGUCAUCAGAGAAGUCAUGUACCCGGAAUGGUUGGCGAAUGUGGUCCUGGUCCCCAAGAAAAAUGGCAAAAUGAGAAUGUGCAUAGAUUUUACGGAUCUCAACAAGGCUUGUGUCAAAGACUCCUUCCCAUUGCCAAGGAUAGAUACCUCUGUGGACAAAGCAGCUGGUUGUCAGAGAUUCUCACUGCUGGACUGUUUCUCCGGAUACCAACAAAUUUGGCUCAAAAAAGAAGACGAAGGAAAGGCAAGCUUCACAACCCCAUUCGGCACGUAUUGCUACACCAGAAUGCCAGAGGGUCUCAAAAACGCUGGAGCAACCUUCUCCAGAAUGAUGGGGAAGGUUCUAGGAAGUCAGCUACAGAGAAACAUCAUAGCCUACGUCGACGAUGUUGUCGUCAUGAGCAAGCGCAAGGAGGACCAUAUCAAGGACCUGCAGGAAAUCUUUGUCAACCUUAGAUCUGCCGGGCUGAAACUUAACCCGGAGAAGUGUGUGUUCGGGGUCAGCAAGGGAAAAAUGCUGGGAUAUAUCAUCAGCUCCGAAGGAAUUAGAGCUAACCCAGACAAGACAAAAGCAAUCAUGUCAAUGGCAGAACCUUCAAACAAGAAAGAAGUGCAAAGGCUGACUGGCCGAAUAGCAGCUCUCAACAGAUUCAUUUCAAGAUCGGCAGAACGGAGCCUUCCAAUCUUCAAAGUGCUAAGAGGAGAAGGUAAGACAGAAUGGGGUCCGGAACAAUCAGAGGCCUUCAGGCAGCUCAAGAAUUACAUUGCAACCAACCUGGUGGUAACAGUGCCCGAUCCAGACACUCCACUACUACUGUAUGUGGUUGCCUCCGAGCACGCUGUCAGUGGUGUCCUGGUGCACGAGACAAGCGACAGUAAGGGAACGGUGCAAAGACCCGUUUACUACGUAUCCGAAGCUCUGUCAGGAGCAAAGUUGAACUACACGGAGAUAGAAAAAAUCGCGUACGCGGUCUUGUGUGCAUCGAGGAAGCUCAAGCAUUACUUCCAAAGCCAUGAGAUUAAAGUACCCACUUCACAGCCAUUGGGUGAUAUCCUUAGGAACAAAGAGGCUUCCGGACGUAUAGGAAAAUGGGCGGCCGAACUGUCACAGUUUGAAAUCACCUAUGUCCCCAGAACCUCCAUCAAAUCUCAAGCCCUGGCUGACUUCAUGGCAGAUUGGACACCUUCGAACAAAGAAGAGGAGAAGGUAGUCGAUCAGCCGUGGACGUUGUAUACAGAUGGCGCCUGGGGUCAAGCAGGAGCAGGAGCAGCAGCCGUUCUAAUCGCACCAUCUGGACUCAAACUAAAGUUUGCUGUACGACUCGAAUUCAAAGCAACAAACAACAUAGCUGAGUAUGAAGGUCUCAUCCUCGGGCUGAACAAAGCUAAGGCUUCCGGAGCAAAAACCCUACUCAUCAAAACAGACUCCCAGGUGGUGGCACGGCAAGUGGAGAAGGAAUACCUAGCUCACAACACGGAGCUGGCAAGAUAUCUAACCGUCGUAAGGGGCCUGGAGAGAAGGUUCAAGGGAUUCACUCUGUAGUACAUUCCAAGAUCCGAGAACUAUGAGGCAGAUGAACUAGCGAAAGCAGCAGCCAACAACACCCCCUUGCCAGAAGGAACCUUCUACCAGAUUGUUGCAACACCCGCAACCGAAUCGUUGCCAAAAGCUUUUCGCUCAGUCCUGCUGACAGAAAGCGAAGAUUGGAGGCAGGCAAUAGCUGAUUGCCUCAAAGGCAAGACAGCCGCAGAUGACGAAGCAUUAGCCAAGAGGAUGGAGGCAAGAGCAAGGAAUUACACCAUCAUUGACGGGAUCCUGUACAAGAAAGGCGUAGUCCAACCUUUGCUGAGAUGCAUAUCACAAAGCGAGGGCAGAGAACUCCUGCAAGAGAUACACUCUGGGAUGUGCGGGUCUCACAUUGGACCUCGCGCAUUGUCUGCUAAAGCAUUAAGACAAGGCUUCUACUGGCCAACUCACAUCAAAGAUGCUGAAGAAAUAGUGAAGACAUGCAAAGCCUGCCAAACCUUCUCACCAAUUCAGUCAGGACCUUCAGCACCAACUCAGCUUAUAUCAGCAUCAUGGCCGUUGCAGAGAUGGGGAAUGGACCUGGUAGGACCGAUGCCAACUGCACAGGGGGGAAACAAGUUUGCCGUCGUGGCCAUCGAAUACUUCACAAGAUGGAUCGAAGCUAAGCCACUGGCAACCAUAACCUCUGAAACAAUCAGGAAAUUUUUCUGGCAGAACAUAGUCUGUAGAUUCGGAGUUCCAAGAAUUCUCACAGUUGACAACGGAAAGCAGUUUGAUUCAGACAGGUUUAAGGAAUUCUGCCAUCACAUAGGAACCAAAAUUGCUUUCGCGUCCGUCUACCACCCAGAGUCAAAUGGGGCCGUGGAGAGAGCAAACAGAAUAAUAUUCUCUGCAAUCUCCAAGACCUUACUCAACCUGCGAAAGGGGAAAUGGGUUGACGAGCUACCCAGAGUUGUGUGGUCUCAUAACACAACAGUCUCAAGAGCAACCGGGUUCACCCCGUUCAAGCUCUUGUAUGGGGAAGAAGCGAUGUUGCCCGAAAAAAUCAAACACCAAAGCCUACGUUCCAUGAAGCAGCAGUUGGCUCAAGACGAAGAGUAUUGCAAGGAAACCUUAGAAUCAAUAAGACUUGAGGCAGUGGAGAACAUUACCAGGUAUCAACAAGAAACCAAAAAAUGGAGAGACCGCAAGGUAGUACGAAAAAACAUACAAGAUGGGGACCUGGUACUUAGGAAAAGAGGAGAUCACCCAAGCGUCAGUAAAUUGCAACCCAAGUGGGAAGGACCUUAUACAGCAAUACAAGCGGGAAGGUCGGGAUCCUUCUAUCUAAAAGACUUCGAAGGUAGAACCUCCACCCACACGUGGAACGUCGACAAUCUACGAAGAUUUUACAUUUGAAUGUAAGGAUGACCCCUGCAAAAUAAGCGGCGGCAUCCAUGUCUUCACAUACACUUGUUUUCUUUUUUACCUUUUUUGCAAUCCAAGGUCUGCACUCUUUUCCUCACAGGGGUACUCCUACCAGGAGGUGAGGUUUUUAAUGAGGCAGAACCUAUGUAAAAACCUCUAAAAUAUAAAGAGGAAUCCACCCCAAAAGCAAAACUCAAAAGUCGAAAAACAGUCAGCAGCGAGGCUGUAGCAUUCGACAAAACAUCACGUGAUUACAAGGACCCUCCGCAGCCUUCAAUCAAAAUUUAGGAAAGCUCGGAACGUCCUCAAAGGUGGACAAACACCAAACUCCUUGGCAGAAGACCUAGCCAAGAGCCGGGCAGCAAGGAUAGCAUGGCCAAAAGUGAAAAAGACCUGUCCUCCUCAGGCGUCACAACAUGGCCAGAAGGAACAAAACCUUCGAACCUGACAAAGACCUGAGGACAAUCAGGCAUCAGGAGCAAUAUUAUUCCUGCCAAAAGGCAGUGGAGGUUUAAUAUUCACAAGAUAGACCUUAAAAAAAAUUACAUAACCUUCACCAAAAUAAGGUCGAAGGUAUCCUGCUACUCUAAGCAGACCCCCAACACACAGAGCGUGAAAAUAAAACAAAACUACAAUAACCCCCAGUCAUGAACAGCAAAACAAGCUACCACAACAACCAACAAUAACUCGAUAAUAAAUUUUAACCUAACAAAGUACAUAAAAUAAAUGUAUCAAAGCCUAUAAAACCAGGCUCACCUUGCCCCCAACCUCAACCAGGAUCAGUAUACAAAGACCCAAACAUCGAGUGCAAACCUAGCAGUCACAAAGGAAAAAACUUAGGCCACCAUGGAAGCAGGGGUUAGCCUUACAUCAACAACAAAAGUUUGUAUUGCACGAAGCUUCGUAAUGUUAGAACCACGGCGUUGUGAUGAACAUCGACCACAUAGUCGUGUACAACCACAACAAAAGAUUUACAAGUGACACUCAGAGGUCUCUGAAGGGUAUCGCACGAAGUCUCGUAACAUCCCUUCAGAACCUUCGACACACAUACCCGAAGGUUCUCCUCGACAACACUCCACGGGAGUUGAGCAAAGUAAAAAAAUAGCACAAUUCAGCAGAGGAUCCUCCGCACUAGAAAAGUCGAAGGUCCUAAGGCCAGGAAGCGGCUAUCCUGCACACAAGAAACAAUCGCCAAUACCUUCGAAAUAUCAAGUAUCAAACACAAGCAGGCUACAGCAACACAAAGAUCCUUAGGAUCAACACCACUGUGACGUUGCAAUGUAUAAAUGCUGUAGCGCGAAGGUUGUAAUAAAAAUAAAGCCAAAAAGUGCGGAGGCCAUGGCCAAAUCAAUGGUAAAAAUGUCUGAUCUUUAUUUACUAUAUACAACGUACAGAACAAAAGUUUACAACCAAAAACGAGAAACAUCCUCCGACCGUCAAACGUCGAAGGUUCUAAGACUCUCGCACAAUUCUUACAUACGAAUCUGGAAAAAGCCUAAGGACAUCGCAGUAAUCACGAACAAGAAAAUCAACUAAGUCAUCAAUACUACGCGUAGGAUACUUAUGACGCCACCAAUCAAUCAGAUAACCCCUCGCGUACAGAUCCCCACGCUUGAACGUCACCGGUGUAACGUAGCUUCCUUCGGCAAAGUUCGAAGGAAGAACCUCCUCUGGAGCAGAUCUCACAACCCUCGCAAAAGAACAAUUUCAAAACCAACCCAAACGAAGGAUAAAACCAAAACGUAUAGCAAAUCUCUCGAACCUCCGGAUAACCAUGAAGAAAAGGCUCGGCCAAAUCCUCAGAAACCUCCGACACCCAGCGUACCCUAUCCUUCUCACCGAAGAUGCGAAGGAUAGGAUAUGGCAGCUGCAUAAACACAACAAACCAUGUCAAAGAGAUAUACACAUGGCCUACGCCAAACGAAAAACAAAACAAAAACCACCACCUAAGCCGGAGGCCAUGAACCUCGGCGCGCAAGCGACCGGACGAAUUCAGAUCGUUCGUCAUCUAGGUCAUAUCCAACAAACUCAAACAUAUCCACCACUCUCAUAUUAGGGAAGGCAAUCCGCCAGUACUCCCACAACUCGCCAGAAACAUAAAUUCCUCUAUAGAAAAUUGAAAGCGGAGUCACGCUAAGAUCCUGCGCAGGUCCUCCGCCAUAGACCUGCGCAGGAUCAGAGUGUAAAACAAAGGUUUACCCAAAAAAAACAAACCAAUAUAUUACAUUUCCAACAGUCUUUACAAGUUAAUCAAAACCUCCGACAUUUCUUACAAAAAAGCGUCGCAUGUGCGGCAGACGCAAAAAACAAAAAAAAAGCCUACAAACUAAAUAACCUCACACCUGAGGCGGAGGAGGAGCAGAAGUCUCGGCCUGCGCUGAAGCUUUGGCGCCAGAUUCCUCCGGAACCUUAGCACCUGCGUCACGAACCUCCGCCUCAGCCUGAGUUGAAGGACGCGCUUCGCUAGGGGGACGUGAAGGACCGGGCUUGUCAACCUUAGCCGCUUUUUUGGCAAUCUCCUGCAAGACAGCAAACUUAAGAUACAUUGCAAAGCAGCAAAACAGAAUACAAAAAAAACCAAAUCAAAAAUACCUCAGCGCGACGAGCCUCCGCCAUCUUCUUCGCCUCAGCCCGCCCAAACCUAAUCCAGAACGAACUAAUGAAGUUCCGGACAGAUUUGCGCAGGCUCGAGGAGCCCUCGCCAACGUCCUCCGCCGAAGCAAACUCCUCCUUAGCAACCCCCUCGGCAUGAGAGCAACCUCCGCGGCGCAAAAGCCUGGCGAAGGAACUAACCGCAGCCAAAGCCCCAAAAUCAACAGCUCCACCAACAAAUCAGGGAGCAUGCGGAUAUGGGACUUCACCCAUGCGAGGCUAGCACAAACGUCUCCGCCAGGCGGAGGAGCAGAGGUGCUACCUCUGAACUGUGCCAGCGAGCUGGUAUAGAGCCCCACGACAUCCGCAACCUCCGCCUCCACCUUCUGCAUACGAGUCUGCAUUGCAGCCGCAGACUCGCGCUCAGCGUCAAGCUCCUUGCGAAGGCGUUCAGCAAUGUCCUCCGCCUUUUCAGCUCGCUGCAAGGCCAAGUCCCUGGCACUCUCCGCCUCAUUGGCACUCGUGCGGAGGACAGCUACCGAAGCCUCGGCAUCUUCCUUCUCUCUCUUCAAAACCUCCGAUCCAGCCUUAUAAUCAUCCCUUUCCUUUUUCAGGGACGCAAUUUCCUGUCGGGCAGAAGAAAGUUCCUUAACAUCCUCCGACAGGCGAGCCUUCUCAGCCUCUAAGUUCUCGUUUUCCUUUUUCAGAGCACCGAUAGCCUCGUCCCGGCAAAUAAUCUCCCGGGAACAACGUUCCUCCAAGGCUGCAGCCAUGUGGUGACUCUGCAAAACGCCAAAAACAACAACAAUCAAACCUUCGACCAAAAAACACGAAGGAAAAACACACAAUUUGAAAACUUACAAGGCUAUGGUGCUCAAACUGCACGCGAAGGAAGGCGUCAAAGUCCAUAUGACGGAGCUUCUGGCGGAGACGAUCUAGAUAGAAAAAAAGGUAAGGAAAAACAUAAGAAAAUUAAAGAAAAAUCAUCAGCAACGGAGGCCAGAAACGAACCUCCGACCAAAGAAUGAACCUCGCGCAGCGCAUCGGUCCAACCUGUGAUCGAAGGAUCAGAAGCACCUGCGCAAAAAAAAAAGUGAAAUCAACACAAACCAAAAGAAACCAAAUCAUUAAAACAACAAAAAACAAAAAGCGUUAUCAUCUUACCAGGACCCAAAGCAUCAGCAGGCGAAGGCCUACUAGCCAGCGCAGAAGGCGCAGGAACCCUAGGCGGAGGAACUUCAAGACCUUCCCGUGCUAUGCUAGCACCCUUAGCCAGUUCCUCCGCAUUGGCCAACCCUGCGACCACAUCCUCUAAAAAACAUAAAAUGAUAUAAGACCGCGAUGACAGAAGCAAGCAUAAAAAUCAAAAAUAACAACAAGGAAACGAACCUAUGUACAACGAAUUUAUAGCAUCUACAGCCGGGCGCGGGGAAGCCUCCGCCUUCUUUAUCCUCCGAACUGAGACGGACUCUGCAUCGUCACUGGAUUCAUCCCGCGCAUCCUUUGGCGGAGACCCUCCGCCAACUGAAGCCACCCGCGCAGGACCCUCAGCCACUGCAGGAUUUGCCUCCCGCGCAGGACUCGCCUCAGGGGCCUCCGCGUCGGAAGACUCCUCCCCAAGAAGAGACGCGAAAGGCGCGCGCACAGAAGAGACCGCACGCGAAGCUUCAACUUCAGGAGCUCCACCAGCAGGAGCGGCCUCCGCAGGAGCAGAAGCCACCGAGUUUGACUCGGCAGCAGAUGAGCGGGCGGAGGAAGACUCCACAGGAGUCUCUAGCACAACCUCCGCCCUUUGCUUCUUCGCCAGAUGCUUGACAGCACCACCACCCUUCCUCUUCUUAGCCUCCGCCGCAGCAACAGCCUUGGAGGAAUCCUUCUUCUUCUCCAAACCAAGAAGAACCUCCGGAGGAAUGACAUAAUCCUCGUACUCAACCCCCAACUCCUCAAAAACUCGGUUCAGCCGGGGCAUCGUACCAAGCGUAGACCUCCGCUGGAGAUAUUCCUUCUCCGAGAUCUUGCCAACAAUCCUCCGAGCAGAAAACUCCACACGAUCAAGGAAAGACUCCUUGGUCUCAUCCUCCGGUAAACCCGCACCAAACCGGGGAAAUGGUAAACCCUCCGGAGGACCAAAGACCGGCACUUGCACCAUCUCAAUGGUGAACUCGUCGUUCCUGCUACCAAGGGGCCAAUAGUCAGCAGCGACCAUCUCCUCAACCAAAUCCCGACCUCCGGAAUAUCGGCAAGCCUGCGCAAAUGCCUUGUCGCAGGCCAGUCGUCCCUCCGACAUUUCCUGCGAAGGAUCAACCUUCGAGAAGGGCUUCAACUCCUUCAUCAACGACGCGUAAGGAUAAAACUUUUCAACGCUGCCGUCAUCCAAAUCCCUCGACGCAACGGGGGUCUUCACGUAGAACCAUGCUCUCAUCCAAUCCUUCUCCCACUUCCCUUUUUGGCAGUAGGAGAUCUCACACCUAGGCCCAGGCAUUGUGCGGCGCGGCAUGAACGCGCAGCUUCCAAACUGCGCAACACAUUCGACACCUCCGGAAUCCUUCACCUUUUUAGGCUGACGCUGGAGCUCGAAAUAGGAGCAAAACGUAUCAAUGUGUGGCAUCGCUCCGUAGGAUUCACAAGCCCAGGCAAACUUGCUAAGGGUUAGAAUCCCAUUGGGGCUGAAAUGCUGUAACUCCACGUUGAAACUCUCCAUCACUUCGCGAAGGAAAUGAUACGGAGGCAUCCGAAGUCCGCAGGUGAAGAAAUCCCUAAAUACCACUGCAUAACCUUCCUCAGGCGCAGGUACAGUUUGACCCGCAGGAGGAGCCUUCGCUCGACCUUCCUUGAAAAACCUAGCCUUGACCAUAUCAGGGAUAUCCUCCGCGCUAAUAGUCGACUCCCCGAACUCAAAAGUAAUUGCAGCCAUCUCCUCAAACUCCUUCGCACUAAUCAAGUCACCAACGGAAGCUUCGACGUCAGAUAACGUCUCCUCCAGAUCUUGAGCCGCAGCCACCUCAAGCAUCCAGUCUUCAAACCUCCGCAACCAACCACCGGACCUCACACUAAGAAAAUUACGCAAAGGACCAGAAAAAUCUGACCUUGAAGGGCGAGGCGAAUGAAAAUGAGCCACCUUAUAUCCUCCGCAAAAACUUGAGACCUAUACGCAACUAAAGCAAAUGCGAGCUGGCGAAGGAAAUAACGAAAACAGCAGGCAGCAAGGGUGAGACCCAAGAGCCUCCCCCAUGCCCCUUUUAUAGGGGGAGGCCUGCGGCAACGCGACCGUUGCGAUUCCCCGCGCCAAACGGCUAUAAGCGGAGGAAUCGGCCUGACCGUUGCGCUUCUUCAAUGCCAACGGCUAACCCCAACGGCUAUAAUAUCCUCCGCAAUCUAACACGCGAAGGAUAUCAGAUUAUCAGAGCAACAAUGAUCGGAGGAUCCUGGCAAAAUAAAGAAACCAAGAAAAUUUAUGACUAAGUAAAAGAAACAAUUUUCCAACAAUACUAACAAACACAUCCUGCGCACCAGGGGGGAAGGCAGCAACCAUGCUCUUAGCCUCCGCAGCGUGGCAUGUUUUUGAGCACAUGGACCGCAGGAGUGCCAUUAGCCCAAAAAGGGGGGAACUGUUGGGGAACAGCUGCAUCCUUUCCCUGGUAGCGUCGAAGGUUAUCCUUCACCCGAGGAACCUCCGACGCUAGGAACCUCCGACGCCUGAAGCGUCGGAGGAUAUCCUUCAGGCGUCGGAGGAUAUCCUUCAUCGGAAAAUACUAAUGUUGACGACUCGUCUGGUCGUGCUAAGUGUGUGCAGAGACUGAGACAUCAGCGGAGGUCCACGAGCAAGGAAAGGGGGGAACCUCCGACCCUCCCGGGUCGGAGGACGGCGGGAGAACGCUGCCAGGCCGAGGGACCUCCGACUCGACCAGGCUAAGGAGGAACUCCCGGGGUGGCCGGGUCGAGCAACCUCCGGCCCAGCUAGGCAGAGGAACCUCCGACACUGAAGCGUCGAAGGAUCCGCAAUUGGGCGGAGGAUCCAAGCCUCCGACCAGCUGAAGCCCCAGACAGAGGAUAAACGAAGGGCUUGCAAUGUGAAAUUACGCAGGUGACUUAGGGUCAGUAGACUGUGAUGUAAGAAUAUACCGGAAUAUCCCCCCACCGUCACGGGGUAUUUAUGUAAACGUCAUUAGGUCGGUUUCCAGGCCCUAUAUAAGGGGCGUGAUGCCGUCAUUAAUAAAGAGAGAGAGCAUUCACUGUAUUCACCUACUGUUGAGUUCACUGCUCGCUAGCGCUCAAACCUCUCACGGUACCGAGUGAGAAGGUUCUCGAUCCACCGUAUUGCUGGGAAGUGCGGAGAGCAUUUUCCCAACA
rnacentral:lncRNA from 1 species